GCGGGAAUAGCUCAAAGGCAGAGCAUCAGCUUCCCAAGCUGAGGGUUGCGGGUUCGAUUCCCGUUUCCCGCU
rnacentral:tRNA from 1 species